rnacentral:lncRNA from 1 species
CUUUCAUUUUCUGAAUAUUUUUCUAGUCUCAGUAGCACUGAACUCCUUUAGAUUUUUGAUAGGAUUUCUUUCUCUUUGUAGAUUUUUGAUAGGAGUAAACCGCUCGUAGUAGAAGUUCAGAGUAGACCGCUCGUAGUAGAAGUUCGGAGUAGACCGCUCAUAGUAGAAGUUCGACUCUCGCAGGAGCUCGGUUGGAAUACUAAAGGCGGUCGAUCACCGUAGAAACUUGGAUGGGGUCUGAUUACUGUAGAAAUCUUGUUGUCGGAGA